rnacentral:rRNA from 1 species
GCACCGCUGGGUAGCUAUGUAUGGACGAGAUAACCGCUGAAAGCAUCUAAGCGGGAAGCCCGCUCCAAGAUAAGGAUUCCUGACACCCCCCCCGGGGGUGUGUGAGACCCCAUAGAGAACAUGUGGUUGAUAGACCGGACGUGGAAGCCCCGCGAGGGGUGGAGCCGACCGGCACUAACGGUCGAAGACAACCAACACCGCCAU